rnacentral:RNase_P_RNA from 2 species
GGAGUUGACAAGAUAGUCGCCGCUUCAUCGUCGUCCAUGCAAAGGGAAACAGGUGGGGGGGAGGAAAGUCCGGGCUCCAUAGGGCAUGGGUGCCAGGUAACGCCUGGGGGGUGCAAAUCCACGACAAGUGCAAUAGAAAGCAAACCGCCGAUGGCCCGUGUACACAGGAUCAGGUAAGGGUGAAAAGGUGUGGUAAGAGCGCACCGCGCGACUGGUAACAGCUUGCGGCACUGUAAACUCCACCCGGAGCAAGGCCAAAGAGGGGUUCAUUGGUACGGCCCGUACUGAACCCGGGUAGGCUGCUUGAGCUAGCGCGUGAGUGCUAGCCUAGAUGAAUGACUGUCCACGACAGAACCCGGCUUAACAGUCAGCUCCAUUU